rnacentral:misc_RNA from 1 species
AGAAUAAACAAGAUCACUAAGCUUAAAGGUUACAAAUGUAAAUCAAUGCCGAAUUGCCACAGAAUUGGAAGCUAGAGAAGUGCGGGAUUCUCAGCAAAUCCAUAAACCCAUUCAAAACACGAAUCAAUUAUAGUCACCCUCUAACAACACAGCUCAUUAGUAUCUCCUCCUAGGACUCCUUGACCUAUGUGCUCGUCCUGAUCUCAUGUUCUUUCUUCUGAU